GACAACCUCAGUUUUGAUCCAAACCAAACUCAAACAACAGCAGCCACUGGAAAUCAAGGAAACUUCACUAAGAAUUUAACAGAUCAGCAAAACACCGCCUCCUUCCCACUUCAGCAUGAAUGAAGUUCAAAUAUAGAGUGGUCUUCAAAGCAAGUUAAAAAGCUCAAAGUAGAAUUCCUUCUGAAUAUGUUAACAGAACUCAUGAUCUAACAUGAUGACCAUAAAUACAUCGGCUUUUGGGCCAAGGCAGCACAGUACAACUUUGGAAGAAGGACCCUAAGGUAGCAUUCUCCUCAAUGGCAGUUUUUCACUUAUUUGCUCAUCACUGCAAGAAAGGACUUAACCUCUGGCUGCCUCCCUUUACAGUAUUACAUAAUCCAUUCUUCACUGAGGGCCCAACCCUAGUUGCUAGUUGCUUAAUUGGAUGAAGAAAAUUUUAAAUCUUGGACUUUAAAUUGUUUAAAAGGCUUAUCUGUGUGGCUUAGUGUCAUUCCCCUCUAUGUUGGUAAAUUCAUGCCAAAUGUGUUUAUUUAACAUGAUGACUUUUACAUGAAGUAAUAAGAUAAAGUCUUCAGCCACCUAUCUUGCUCCUACUUAGUUCUCCUUGUUUUAGGAAUAGGAAACCCAGUCCCCUGUUUCCCCUGGCUCUAAAUAAGCCCAGAGCAAUCCCUGAAAGCUCUUCUGUGGGACAUACCAAGACAGUGUCUCACACUCUCUGGAGUUCAUGAUGGAAACGAGACAGAGAUUAGAAAUAUGUAGACCCUUCUCUUUGUCUGUCUUCCAGACACCCUGUGAGGGCUGGUAAAAGUGUUCUUAUUCUCCAAAUAUUCACUGGCAAUGAACUUGUGUAAUAAAAUUAUGUUUGGGGUUUGUAGUUGGUUCUUUUAAAUGAACAUCUGUUAUUCUCUUUCAGUUGAAAGUUUCUGAACACUGGGCAGGGCAACUUGGCUUCCUCCACCACCUCUGCAGAGUGACAAAUGGAGCCUGUCGUCUGUCAGCGGCUUGUUGAUUGGUUGACCAGUCACCAUGGUCUCCCACAGCUGUUUUUCCUCUGAGAGUGACCUAGAGGAAUAUGCAGAGUUACGUUUUGAUAGUUGUCACUGAAGAAAGGAAAUGAACAUAUAUUGAGCAAUCUCUUCAUGCCAGGACUCUGUUUAGGUCAAUUCUUGAUGAGAUCUACAUAUUUCUCUUUAACUUCUCAACAUACAUUUGGGAAGCCAAGUCUAAAACUACUUGCUUUGAAAGGACUCUACUUGGAUGUGUUGUUGGACAUGGGGGAAAGUAGGAGGUAAAUGUGGACAGAGGAUUUGACAUUCAUUGUAGCUGCAACCAGUAGGGAUGAUUCUCUAGAGAACCAUGUGGAUGAGAAGCAAUUCUUCUAGAAGUUGAAACAGUUCUAGAUUACAUGCUGAAUUGUCUACCACUUUACCAAAGACAUAGUAAAAUACAUAAAUGUUAUUUUUCUUCCUUAAUUCUAAAUGAAUAUAUGUGUAUAUAUGUCUGUGCGCAUGUAUAAUUCUGAGUAUGUUAACAAUUCUUAUUUUCUCAUAAAAAUUAAAUGAAAUUUCAAUUUUAUUAUUAUUUUUUACUU